GGCAACAUCAUGUUGAAACAGUAGUUCCCAUAUGAUCACCAAAGUUAAACAAGUUUAGUCUGGCCAGCACCUAGAUGGGUGACUGCUUGGGAAAACCAGGUGCUGUAAG